rnacentral:rRNA from 1 species
UACGUAGGGGCGAGCGUUGUCCGGAAUUAUUGGGCGUAAAGCGCGUGUAGGCGGCUUGGUAAGUCCGCUGUGAAAACUCGGGGCUCAACCCCGAUGCCUGACCGGUGGAUACUGCCUCGGCUUGAGUCCGGGAGGGGAGGGCGGAACUCCUAGUGUAGCGGUGAAAUGCGCAGAUAUUAGGAAGAACACCGGUGGCGAAGGCGGCUCUCUGGAACGGUACUGA